UACGGAGGGUGCAAGCGUUGUCCGGAUUUAUUGGGUUUAAAGGGUGCGUAGGCGGUCUUUUAAGUCAGUGGUGAAAUCCCGCAGCUCAACUGCGGAACUGCCAUUGAUACUGAAGGACUUGAGUACAGACGAGGUAGGCGGAAUUUAUGGUGUAGCGGUGAAAUGCAUAGAUACCAUAAAGAACACCGAUAGCGAAGGCAGCUUACUAGACUGUAACUGACGCUCAGGCACGAAAGCGUGGGGAGCGAACAGGAUUAGAUACCCCAGUA
rnacentral:rRNA from 1 species